GUUGACAAGUCACCCCGCCCUGAGCACGCCUGAUCUCCUCUGAUCUCAGAAGCUAAGCAAGGUCGGGUCUGGGUAGUACUCGGGCAGGAAAACAUGCAGCAGUCGGGG
ensembl:rRNA 5S_rRNA 5S ribosomal RNA